rnacentral:ncRNA from 1 species
CACACUUUCGCAAGUGGGUCUAGACUAUAUCUUAAGCUUACUUAAGCCCAUGAUUGUAUAGUCGUUGCACGAUCUUCUUAUUCAGAAGUUCGCUCAGGAUUAUCUCAAUGAUAUAGAUUGUACCAAUUUCAAUUGAUUUCUCAAUUAGACGUGGACUAUAUCACGGUUAGAUGUUCCCUGAAUUUAAUCAUGUUGCCUAUACCUUAAUAUAGACUAGUAGGUUAAACCUACUAUUUUUAGCCAAAAUGUAACCAACGUUU